rnacentral:lncRNA from 1 species
CCAACAUACUGUACUACACAAGAUCCGAAAAGAAAAGGAGAAAUUCCUGCUUAUAUCGCGGUGAGGAGGAGCAUGCCACAUUGCCACACAAAGAAGCGAACUCAAACCGACGAAAAGCCAUUCAAAAGCACCCGCAGCAGCAGGGGGCGGGCUUGGGCUUCAACUUUCACCCACGCCACCGCGCUGCAUGAUAUCGCACCACAUGUACGCUCGCUCAGCCUGCCUGCCUGCCAUCA